GCUCAGUGCUGCCCAGGCAUGGGAGUAAUAAAGUGUGUUUCUGGUGGGGAGGAGGUGCUCAGGGUAAACAUUUGAGGAAAAAAAAAUGGUGAAAGUGCCUGAGGACAGAAGCCCAAGGUGCCCACCAGAUGACCCUGUUCUGUGUAAGCUGGAACAUGUGAAUUGCUGAACCUUUCAGAUUCUGCAAGAGUGGAUAUUUGAAUCCCACAAGUGUUUUGCUGGCGACUUCUGUCAUAAAAGGGGACCGUGUAUCAGUUCUCCAGAGAACUCAUUCCAGUCACAGAGGUUUGUUCUGAGACCUCUUGGGAGCUGCAGCCUGGCCGCUUGAGUUGGAGCUUCCUGAAUUCAUCCAUCGCUUUUCAUGACGCUGGACCCAGCUCCUUUGGAGAUCACAGUGGACUAUGAGAGCCAAAUGUUUCUAACAGGCCCCAUUCCCGCUUGCUGCUUCCUGAAGUGCUGUCUCCCAGUCUUUGCAGACAGCACUUUGACCUACUCCAUGCGACCGUCAUUUCCGUGCGCUCAGGGCACCCCGCGCGCCCUGAGCCACUUUCCCCUACGGAGUGAGCCCCCAAAUGGGGACGUUCAGAGACCGCUCAGCCCAGGGCAGUUGGGGUAGGGGUUGGGGUUGGGGAGAUCCCCUCUUCAUGGCAGUCGCUAUGGCCUAAUGCAGGUAAAGUCACUGCUAGCAAUUUUGAAUUUCAGAAUUUGGAAUUAUUUGCAUUAGUUAUGAAGAUUGGCCAAAUUCCAUCCGUUUGUCUUUUGCACUGUCUCCGGGGAUAAAAAUGGAUAUACAAUUUGGAGUUUACAAGAAAGGAACAAUCUGAUUCAGUUAGAUUGUGCUUCUAAUUAAACAUAAUUUCAUUAUUAUUUAAAAAAAUGUUCUUUCUCUAAAAUAUAAGUAGUUCACCUUCAGAGAAUAGGUUAUAAGAACAUAUUUAAUCACACUUUCUAGUUCAAGAGGUUGUCCUAAAUCUGCUCCUGGUAUGAUCUUGAUACAACCCUUGGUGUUGGGGAUCAUUGCUUCCAUGUUUCUCACUUCUUAUGGGGACUACAGUUGUAAUGUCCUGCUUGCCAAGCUGGAAUGUUAACCCAGACCGUCUGACUCCAAAAACUAUAAUAUCCAUUAAACCAGCGGUUCUUAACCAGGCUAUGCAUUUUAAUCUCCUGGUGAGCUUCUCAAUAUAUGUCCUCCCAGACUCAUGCUGGACUUUCUCCAUCAGAAUUCCCUGUCUGAUACUGGGUUCAUUCAAUAAAGAAACAUAAAAUGGGUAUGUAAUGCUGUGUCAGGUAGUGAUGAAUGUUUGGGGAAGGAAAAAAAAAGCAGAAUGAGGGAGUAGAGA
ensembl:lncRNA